rnacentral:rRNA from 1 species
UUAAGCGACUAAGCGUACACGGUGGAUGCCCUGGCAGUCAGAGGCGAUGAAGGACGUGCUAAUCUGCGAUAAGCGUCGGUAAGGUGAUAUGAACCGUUAUAGCCGGCGAUUUCCGAAUGGGGAAACCCAGUGUGAUCCGUCACACUAUCAUUACGUGAAUACAUAGCGUAAUGAAGCGAACCGGGGGAACUGAAACAUCUAAGUACCCCGAGGAAAAGAAAUCAACCGAGAUUCCCCCAGUAGCGGCGAGCGAACGGGGAGCAGCCCAGAGUCUGAAUCAGCUUGUGUGUUAGUGGAACGGUCUGGAAAGUCCGACGGUACAGGGUGAUAGUCCCGUACACCAAAAUGCACAGGUUGUGAACUCGAAGAGUAGGGCGGGACACGUGGUAUCCUGUCUGAAUAUGGGGGGACCAUCCUCCAAGGCUAAAUACUCCUGACUGACCGAUAGUGAACCAGUACCGUGAGGGAAAGGCGAAAAGAACCCCGGCGAGGGGAGUGAAAAAGAACCUGAAACCGUGUACGUACAAGCAGUGGGAGCCUACUUGUUAGGUGACUGCGUACCUUUUGUAUAAUGGGUCAGCGACUUAUAUUCUGUAGCAAGGUUAACCGUAUAGGGGAGCCGAAGGGAAACCGAGUCUUAACUGGGCGUUAAGUUGCAGGGUAUAGACCCGAAACCCGGUGAUCUAGCCAUGGGCAGGUUGAAGGUUGGGUAACACUAACUGGAGGACCGAACCGACUAAUGUUGAAAAAUUAGCGGAUGACUUGUGGCUGGGGGUGAAAGGCCAAUCAAACCGGGAGAUAGCUGGUUCUCCCCGAAAGCUAUUUAGGUAGCGCCUCGUGAAUUCAUCUUCGGGGGUAGAGCACUGUUUCGGCUAGGGGGUCAUCCCGACUUACCAACCCGAUGCAAACUGCGAAUACCGAAGAAUGUUAUCACGGGAGACACACGGCGGGUGCUAACGUCCGUCGUGAAGAGGGAAACAACCCAGACCGCCAGCUAAGGUCCCAAAGUCAUGGUUAAGUGGGAAACGAUGUGGGAAGGCACAGACAGCCAGGAUGUUGGCUUAGAAGCAGCCAUCAUUUAAAGAAAGCGUAAUAGCUCACUGGUCGAGUCGGCCUGCGCGGAAGAUGUAACGGGGCUAAACCAUGCACCGAAGCUGCGGCAGCGACACUAAGUGUUGUUGGGUAGGGGAGCGUUCUGUAAGCCGUUGAAGGUGUGCUGUGAGGCAUGCUGGAGGUAUCAGAAGUGCGAAUGCUGACAUAAGUAACGAUAAUGCGGGUGAAAAACCCGCACGCCGGAAGACCAAGGGUUCCUGUCCAACGUUAAUCGGGGCAGGGUGAGUCGACCCCUAAGGCGAGGCCGAAAGGCGUAGUCGAUGGGAAACAGGUUAAUAUUCCUGUACUUGGUGUUACUGCGAAGGGGGGGACGGAGAAGGCUAUGUUAGCCGGGCGACGGUUGUCCCGGUUUAAGCAUGUAGGCGGAGGUUCCAGGUAAAUCCGGUACCUUUUUAACGCUGAGGUGUGAUGACGAGGCACUACGGUGCUGAAGUAACAAAUGCCCUGCUUCCAGGAAAAGCCUCUAAGCAUCAGGUAACACGAAAUCGUACCCCAAACCGACACAGGUGGUCAGGUAGAGAAUACCAAGGCGCUUGAGAGAACUCGGGUGAAGGAACUAGGCAAAAUGGUGCCGUAACUUCGGGAGAAGGCACGCUGAUAUGUAGGUGAAGCGGUUUACCCGUGGAGCUGAAAUCAGUCGAAGAUACCAGCUGGCUGCAACUGUUUAUUAAAAACACAGCACUGUGCAAACACGAAAGUGGACGUAUACGGUGUGACGCCUGCCCGGUGCCGGAAGGUUAAUUGAUGGGGUUAUCCGUAAGGAGAAGCUCUUGAUCGAAGCCCCGGUAAACGGCGGCCGUAACUAUAACGGUCCUAAGGUAGCGAAAUUCCUUGUCGGGUAAGUUCCGACCUGCACGAAUGGCGUAAUGAUGGCCAGGCUGUCUCCACCCGAGACUCAGUGAAAUUGAACUCGCUGUGAAGAUGCAGUGUACCCGCGGCAAGACGGAAAGACCCCGUGAACCUUUACUAUAGCUUGACACUGAACACUGGUCCUUGAUGUGUAGGAUAGGUGGGAGGCUUUGAAGUGUGGACGCCAGUCUGCAUGGAGCCAUCCUUGAAAUACCACCCUUUAAUGGCUGGUGUUCUAACGUGGACCCGUUACCCGGGUUGCGGACAGUGUCUGGUGGGUAGUUUGACUGGGGCGGUCUCCUCCUAAAGAGUAACGGAGGAGCACGAAGGUUAGCUAAUCCUGGUCGGACAUCAGGAGGUUAGUGCAAAGGCAUAAGCUAGCUUGACUGCGAGAGUGACGGCUCGAGCAGGUGCGAAAGCAGGUCUUAGUGAUCCGGUGGUUCUGAAUGGAAGGGCCAUCGCUCAACGGAUAAAAGGUACUCCGGGGAUAACAGGCUGAUACCGCCCAAGAGUUCAUAUCGACGGCGGUGUUUGGCACCUCGAUGUCGGCUCAUCACAUCCUGGGGCUGAAGUAGGUCCCAAGGGUAUGGCUGUUCGCCAUUUAAAGUGGUACGCGAGCUGGGUUUAGAACGUCGUGAGACAGUUCGGUCCCUAUCUGCCGUGGGCGCUGGAGAAUUGAGGGGGGCUGCUCCUAGUACGAGAGGACCGGAGUGGACGCAUCACUGGUGUUCGGGUUGUCAUGCCAAUGGCAUUGCCCGGUAGCUAAAUGCGGAAGAGAUAAGUGCUGAAAGCAUCUAAGCACGAAACUUGCCCCGAGAUGAGUUCUCCCUGAGACUAUAAGUCUCCUGAAGGAACGUUGAAGACGACGACGUUGAUAGGUCGGGUGUGUAAGUGUAGCGAUACAUUGAGCUAACCGAUACUAAUGAACCGUGAGGCUUAACCUU